rnacentral:rRNA from 1 species
AUUGAACGCUGGCGGCAGGCCUAACACAUGCAAGUCGAACGGUAACAGGAAGACGCUUGCUUCUUUGCUGACGAGUGGCGGACGUGUGAGUAAUGUCUGGGAAACUGCCUGAUGGAGGGGGAUAACUACUGGAAACGGUAGCUAAUACCGCAUAACGUCGCAAGACCAAAGAGGGGGACCUUCGGGCCUCUUGCCAUCGGAUGUGCCCAGAUGGGAUUAGCUAGUAGGUGGGGUACCGGCUCACCUAGGCGCCGAUCCCUAGCUGGUCUGAGAGGAUGACCAGCCACACUGGAACUGAGACACGGUCCAGACUCCUACGGGAGGCAGCAGUGGGGAAUAUUGCACAAUGGGCGCAAGCCUGAUGCAGCCAUGCCGCGUGUAUGAAGAAGGCCUUCGGGUUGUAAAGUACUUUCAGCGGGGAGGAAGGGAGUAAAGUUAAUACCUUUGCUCAUUGACGUUACCCGCAGAAGAAGCACCGGCUAACUCCGUG